AUCUAUUUAAUUCUGGUUGAAGAAGGUGGGAAGACAAGACUACAUAAAGCAGGUUUAUUGGUUCAGUAGAAGGAGACUUUACUGAGGUUAGUAGCUAGAUCUUAUGUCUCAGAGAAAUCUGGAUUAGGUUGUCUUUCAAGAAGUGGUGAAUACUCAGUGCCAGCAUCCGCGGUUAUUCUGUUAGCUUUAGUCUUCGGUAAUAGGUUGAAAUGGUUUAGAGAUUAUUGGCCGGUGAGGGGUAGAAUCUUUCUGGUGGGGAGAAGAGUCUUUAGAUGAAAUUAUGUCACUGUUUAUUAAGGGGAUUAGAUACCCCCGUAAUGGUGUUUAAAUUUUGUUCCGUAGUAUAAACUAAAAGGAUUUGGCAGCCGACGAGGUUCUUCCGGGGGAGCGUGUAUCAUAAAAGAUAGUCCACUUAAGAAUCAACCCUCUUUAGCUAAGUUAGUGUAUAUCCGGUUUAAAAUUUGUGGUUAAUGUCUAUGAGUGUAACUAUUUGUUUAAUCCAGGUCUAUGUGCUGCUUAUAUUGGGGGGCUUAUGCGCUACAUUAGUAAAUUGGUAACUAGGAAGAUUAGUUAUUGGGUUUAGGACUCGGAAGUAGGCAUACAAUACUAUCAAGUUAGUGUGUUGUGUCGAAGAUGAUUUAGUUGGGGUACACACCGCCCGUCACCCAGGGCGAUAGCUGUGGUAAGUCGUAACAUGGUAAUGCUAGGGGAACCUGGUGUUAGUUAAUUCUUUUACUUGGGGGAGGAAUUU
rnacentral:rRNA from 1 species